rnacentral:rRNA from 1 species
GGGAUAACUUCAGGAAACUGGGGCUAAUACCGGAUAGGAGCUCCUGCUGCAUGGUGGGGGUUGGAAAGUUUCGGCGGUUGGGGAUGGACUCGCGGCUUAUCAGCUUGUUGGUGGGGUAGUGGCUUACCAAGGCUUUGACGGGUAGCCGGCCUGAGAGGGUGACCGGCCACAUUGGGACUGAGAUACGGCCCAGACUCCUACGGGAGGCAGCAGUGGGGAAUAUUGCACAAUGGGCGGAAGCCUGAUGCAGCAACGCCGCGUGCGGGAUGACGGCCUUCGGGUUGUAAACCGCUUUCGCCUGUGACGAAGCGUGAGUGACGGUAAUGGGUAAAGAAGCACCGGCUAACUACGUGCCAGCACCCGCGGUAAUACGAAUCACUAGUGAAUUCGCGGCCGCCUGCAGGUCGACCAUAUGGGAGAGCCCCCAA